GCUCCUGACAAUCCGUCCUCUGAAAAAUCCGAAAGUCCCGGUGAAAAACUGAGCAUUUGCGGGCAAAGAGGCGUGCUAGGAGGUGAAAUUUUUUGUUGGAGAAGUCAUCACAGAUUCCAGAAUUCACCCGAUUUUGGGCAUGGAGUCUGUGAUUGCCACUGUUAGUGGUUAUCAUGGUACUGAGAGAUUUAAAGUAAUUAAGCUUAUUGCGUGUACUGGUGCUAAUUAUGUUGGCGCUAUGGAUAGGUCCGUUACUCAUCUGGUCUGCUGGCAGUUCGAGGGAAGGAAAUAUGAUUUGGCACGAAAACUUGGAACACACAUAAUCAGCCAUUGUUGGUUCGAAGAUUGUUUGAAAGAAGGAAGGCGUCUUCCAGAAGGUCCUUACACCAUGCAGAGCAGUGGGCAAGAAGUUGGACCAAUAUCAUGGGAAUUGCCUGCCAUUCUUGAAGGCAACUCCAAGAAAAGAUGUCCCUUUUUUGGAGAAAGGAACGUGGAAUCUAAUCAUUGCAAGGCUAUGAAUUCUGCAAAACGGAAAAAGAUCAAUCCAGUUUGCUUAAAUUGGUCUGAUUCUCAUCUAUUAAAGGAGAAUUACUUUCAUGGCUGGGAUGCAAAAAAAAUGUUAUCCAAUUCCCAAGGAAGAAAAUCCAGAAGGAUAUUGAAGAAAAGUCAUCAAUCUAGCCGACAUCAAAUUGCAAUUUUAGAUGAUACUAGCAGCUGGCCUGAGUGCAGUUCUCGUUCAUCAACAAGAUUAAGCCACAGGAGAAACUUCCAUUAUGAUGCUAAUGGCAAAAUUUUUGCUAAACCUACUGAUGAAAGUAGUCAUGCAGUAAAGAUCACGGAACCUGUGGAUCUUGAUAAGUUGAGGAGCAAGUCUGCAUCAUUUGCUCUAGAAAAGGCUUCAGAAACAAUACUCUAUGACAAUGAUGGAAGCAGAAGAAUAGAGCAUGAAGAAGGCAUUGUAGAAACAAAUGACUUUUCUAAUUUGGUAGAUUCGGACAGCUCCGAGAGCUGCCAUGUGCUUACUGUUGAAGAAGAUUCGAAAACAAUAAAUUCUGUAGAAGUAAGAGGAACUGACCUUUGCGAAGCUGGAGACUGCGAUGCACUAAGUGCACCUAGCGGUCUAGAUCAGCAGGCUGAACUGUCAUGCGUAAUUUGUUGGACAGAAUUUUGCUCUUUAAAAGGAGUAUUGCCAUGUGGACACCGAUUCUGUUAUUCCUGUAUUAAGGAGUGGUCUGAUUGUAUGGCCUUAAGAGGAAAGUUAUCAACAUGCCCUCUUUGCAAAGCGAAUUUCACAAGCAUUACAAAAUUUGAGGAGCUGGCUUCUUCCGAGCAAAAGAUAUUCUCCGAAAGCAUUCCCUGCAGCUCAUCAAAACAGGACAUUUUUUGUCUUCCAGGCAAUAGAUAUGACACCUUCAGAACCUCACACUCAGAUUCAAUUUGUUUUGAAUGCCAAAAUCGUGAGCCAGAGGAUCUUCUCUUGAGUUGUCACAUCUGCCAGACUCAGUGGGUGCAUUCUUGUUGUUUAGAUCCUCCAUUGAUUCCAUGGACCUGCAUUCACUGUAGGGAUCUUCGGAUGCUUUAUCAACGUUUCCGUUAGUUGUUUCAUGGAUGCUUGCUCAAGUUGAGAUUCAAGGAUUGAAACAACAGCCAAAGAAACUCCAGGGAACAAAGAGGAGCUUUUGCCACACUGGAGAUGCCGUUAAGGUUGGUUUCGGCUAGUGAGAUUAUGCAUAUUGCCAACUAUUAUCGGAAUUCCUUGCGCUAUAUUCAUGGUACCAUGCACUCAUGCUUUCAUCAUUGGAGAUCUUUACUUCGCGAGAAAUUAUUCUGUGCGGACACCAGAUGGUUUAUAGUCCAGAGACGAAUCAAGUGCCGUCACAUCAUCCAGUACAUAGUAGUAUCUAGCUCGGUAUCGAAUAGGUGAUGCGGCGUAUUUUUAUUGGGUUCUGGACGGCGUUUGAUGUCUACACAGAAUAAUUCAUCCUACUUCACAAUCCUUCCUCAUGCUUGGCAAAUAAUGCACAUAAAAGUAAGGUCAACAUGUGUGAAUAAUGCCAGCUUACUUUCCAAGUUGAUAAUCUCAUUGAAUAUGUAAUAGAUUAUGGUUUCAUUUAGGAUGAUUUUUUUACUGUCUUUUAGUUAAAAAAAAUUUAAUUUUUGUACAAGGAAAACACUUUAAGGAGAAGUAAAAAAAUCGUCCCAAAUGAAGUACAUAUCUGAAUUAUCAUAACACACCAAAUCUAAGGAUUGAAGCAAAGGAUUAUAUCUGAAA